GAAGAAAUCGCACAAGUGGAAAUCAAAACAACGAAAAUAAAUGGCGCCGAUGGCAGUCCUCUUUUCCGGGUGCUCUUCACCCCAAUAACCAGUAUGUUCUGAGAAACUACGCUUUCUUUAAGCAUUGCUUUCGGUUAUCGGACACAAUUAGGCAGUCGUAGACUCUGUGAGUCGAGCUGCACAGAUGCUCCCGCACGCGCUGUCUAUAUGAUACCCUUCUCUACCAGUCGGCAACGAACGGGACAAGCCAGAAGGACGAAGGAAAACAUCUAGCGCCUGAUGUCUGCUGAAAGUGCGUAGAUUAUGUAUAACAAGAAAUUUCAGUGCGGAAGUGGUGGAUACGGUUUGCUACCCUUGUGUCGGUCGACGAAAUAACAGAAGCUGUUAUUAUGUACUGCUGUUCUGUCUUCGAUGUAGGUAUAGAUGGUGUAAGGUAAUGGAAAACUACUUUCUCGUACAACUGUUUCUCUUGUCGAUGAUGAUGAUAAUAGUGGAAGCAACAAUUGAUAGUAGGUAGGUUAUUCUUUAGGUGCGCGGAUAGAGAAAACUCAGGAAUAUUCAAGGUUGCAGUUAGAUCAUUAGAAUCUACUGGCAUAACCUACCAUGGUAAGGUUUGAUAUAAAGCAGAAGCGAAUCUACACGCGUUAAUUGCAUGCUUGAUACCAUUAUGUUUGUUUUGUCAUGUGGCUCCGGAAAGAUCUCAAGCUAUUCUUGCUUUCUAUUUUACAAGGAACUUAACCGCCUUCUAGUGGAAAGAAAACAGGUUGCAAAUUUGUUACAGCCUCAAAACUGCACCAUUAAUAAAGGUGAUUUUAAUAGCAAAAAAAGAAAGAAGAAAUUAUUGAUAACUGUUAUUUGUAUUUUAGGUCGAAAUUUUCACCGCCAUAGUUCGCCUGUCUGCUACCACACACGAAACACGUUUAAUCCAUACAUUUUAAAACGACCACUUUGACAACUAUAAUUAGGCCAGUUUUUACGUUCUCAAGACUUUUGCUUAUCUGCAGCUGGCGCAGGCUGGCGCAGACUGGCACAGUAGAAGAGAUUAUCUUAGGACUCUCGCGGCAGCCAAGCAACGGGUCAGCCAGAUCAAUUGUAUGAUCGUAAAUCUUGUGGCCGAAGAGGCGUGCGCGGCAGCUUAAAGUGUCAAUCAGUUGACUUCAUGACUCAAACACGCUGAUAAUAGCGGAAGUGUAACCACGGAAUUGGGCAGCUUGGAAAACCAAUUUACAGUUGAAGGAAAUUAACCUUUAGUUGAGGGUGCGAUUGGAAGCUGUGUUUGCUAGGGUCAUAACGCUAUACUUAUUCUACUAAUACCUAAUUGUUAACCUACUUUAAUCCCAUUUAGUAAACCUACUGUUUUUCACCUCAGUUUGAAUUAUAGGUCACGUUUUCUAAUGGUACAGGCCUACGCUUGCUCACUCAUCUUGUAUAUGCCGCUCACCUUCUAUUGGAACCAACUAUGUGUAAUGAUUGGUACUAUUGAUAUUUUGAACACAUAGCACCUGAUAGCUAAGCUGAGAGGUUACCGGGUUUUAGAAGUCCAUUAAGGCUAGUUCUUGUGUAAACACAAAGCUGCUAAACGCAAAGUUCUUCUUAUUUGAUUUAAAACUGCCAUUCGUUUUUAAUGCAUAUAAUGAAUACAAGACAAAAACAGUUUCUUUUAUGCUUCGCGUAUUUCCUACGCAAUCCUAUGUUUUUUAUGUGAUGUCUAUGGAAAUAAAACAAAUGUCACAUUUCCAGCAUUUCUAUUAGCCAUACGUAGAGUUUCAUGACUUUCCUGCCAAUUUUUUUUUCAAUUAAGUGCAUCACCGGCAAAAUGCUUGUUGUGAAUUUUAUAAAAACCUGUAUACUUUUAAUCGUUAGUUUUAUUACUAGACAUUGUAAUAUAAUUGAGUUUGAAAGUUUGCCAUGAUUGAAUGUCAUUGUUUUUGUAUUUUUUAAAUGCACUGUUGUUAAUAUUUAAGCUUAUAUUUAUAUUGCUUAAGAAUUAAGCAUGACCUAAAGCGCUCCCGGCUUUCACUCUAUGGUCUAUAGAGGGAGGCAUCCUGGCUUUUCACUGCUAACAAAAAAUAGGUAUCAGUUAUAUUCACCCUUACGGCGAUCUGCUGUAGCAUACAUUUACAGAGAUAGGUUUCUGAUGGAACGGGCCAUAUACAGCCUUGUAUUUCUUGAAUAAUCGUGAUGAAACGCUAUCGAUCACUUAAGAUAGCAUAUUCGAGUUCUAAGCAUAUCUUGUAAGGCCAUAGAGACUGAUGAGCCACUGAGUCCUGUAAUUCAAAAACCUAGGACCUCCGUACUUGCUGUACUUUGUGGUCAUAACGGUAUUCAGUUUGUCUUACAAAACAGCUUUUUAAAAUAUAAACAGUUUUCAAUUUUGUGAUAUACAAUGAUUUAUCGACUAACGACUUUAUUAACCCAUCGGCAGUAAUAUAAUUUAAUUUUUGUUGGAAGAUCGAAUCCUGUCAGAUUUGUAAGCCUGUCGGAUGUCCUACCCAAGAUACUUAGAAAAACUUUGUUUACCCGAAGUCAAGGGUUUUCAGUGUACUACUGUUUAUUGAUGCUAAGCUGCUUUUUAUGUGUCGAAAGAAGUAAGGUCUUUUAGUAAAUGUAAACACCUUUUCUAACACAAAAGAAACGAGCGCGAGAAUUUCGGAUUUUAGCUCUUGUAGGAUAAACAAGAUAUAAAAGAGAAGACUAUAUCAUGUCUAGUACAAUUGCGAGAUUGUUUCAAGGCUCACAAUAUAAUAAAAUGGUAUCCCCGAAAUCCACAACUAAGGCAUUUGUAUAUAUCCCAUAUGGAUAAAAAAAUUGUGGCGAAGGCAACUAUAAGAUGGUUCUUUCGGGAUGUUUCUAACAAAGUCUAAAAAGUUACUCUUUUAUCAGUUUAGUUCAACAUAUGACCGUAAGAGUAUAUAUUGAUUUUUCUAAAUUAAACUUACGUAAGCGGUUAAUAUCAAAUUCGGGGUGGCUAGGUAGAAUCUGUAAAUUAGUAUACGAAAUACGCGGAUACUAAUUUAUGCGUUUGUCGGAAAGUAAGUUUUCUCAUGUUUUUGAUGUUUUCUGAUCGUUUUUAGAUAUUUGGGCCUGACAUUAAGGGUAAUCCAUCAUUUAGAUGGCGGAAAAGAACGCUUCUACGGUGCUUGUUUUAAUUUUCGGGCCUCCAGCCUCUGGCAAGACGACCCUAGCUGCUAAUCUUAAAGGACGACUAAGUCAAUGCCUUCUACUUUCAUUUGAUGACAUUUUUUCAGCCGAAGAACAGAAAGUUGCCAUUCAGACAAGAGGGAGUCUUAAAAUACUGCGCAGAUCGAUGCUUGAAGCUGUAAAGGACAUACUCGAUGGUAGAAGAGAGUGUGUGUCAACCACCAAAAUUAUUGAUCGAGUAACGAUUGACCAACGCAAGCAAAUCGUCAAAGGACCCUGGCAGCACAUCAUUAUUGAUGACAACUUGUAUCUUAGGAGCAUGCGCCACUGUUGGUUCCAAGCGGCCAAAGCUCGAGGAAUAUCAUUGUGUAAUGUUUAUGUGACGGCAUCUCUCGAGGAGUGCCUGGAUCGAAAUCGGCUGAGGCCAUUUCCAGUUCCUGAAAAUGUCAUCAUCAACCAAUUUCGAAAAAUGGAGCCACCUAUUGCCGAAGCAAGUCAAGCGGAGAAAUUUUCACUCUCUCUCAAAACAUCGAAUUUUUCAAUGUACAUCAACACGGCCGAAGUAAUAAUUUAACAGCAAGAUUGCAAAUCGCCUUCUAACCUUAAUCGCGGCAGCCAGAUUAUGUCCGCUUGUCCCGCAAGACGUUGAACGUACUCAAAGUGUAGCGGAGUCUUCGCGGCGAGUUACCCGCGAGUCAAAGUCGCACAAUCUCGAUCUCGCUUUCAGAAAAGCCGUCACUGGACUCAUAAAAAACGAACCGUGUUGCCGUAAAAAACAACAAAUAUGGGCUCGCUCAAUGUCCUUCAAGGCAGAUGUGUUGAGUGCGCCUAAUUUACAAACAUUGAGCUCCCAGCUACGAACUGCAUUGGAUGGCCAGCGGAAUGAUCUUAAAAUUGAAUUACAAACGACGAUUGCUGCAACUCUUACGGAUAAACUGUCGUUACAGCCCAUGGCAUAGGGUUACGGAAAUGUCUAGUUGCACUGUCCGUCUGCAUUAUACAUAUGUGUAUGUACACAAUACAUAUGAAAUACUGAAGUAUUUGUUUUUUAUUUUACAUAAAUCUAACUAUUUUAGGAACCGCUAAAUUCAUAUCAUAAUUAGCAAAACUGUUCUUCCGAGUCUCGAGUGUAUUAAAUUAACAAAAUAGAUUUACAGUGUCUACAUUAUUGCGCACUGGGAAAUUUAUAUAUCCCAUCUAGGCCUACAGUUUCUUUAGGUGAUUCUAUGGUCAACGCGAUUUUGACCAUUUUUGUGAAUGAAACCUUGUCAUAUAUACAAGCGCUUGAGCUUUUUUUAAAUAGAGUUAUAAAAGCCUAAGUUAAAAAAAGUUAUAUAGCCUACAGUGGCUAUAUAAUAGCGUGUACCAAAAAAACAAAAAAAAAAUUGAAGCUUUCAGUAGA